GUUAAAAAGAGUUUGAUCCUAGCUCAGGAUGAACGCUAGCGGUGCGCCUAACACAUGCAAGUCGAGCGGUA
rfam:Pseudoalteromonas citrea strain KMM216 contig0286, whole genome shotgun sequence.